AAAGGUCUUUAAAAGAAUCAUUAUUAUUAAAACAAAAUAACCAUUAAAUUAUUACUAGCACUAUAAUAUGAAAAAAUAUCAAAAUCAAUUCUCAACAUUACUACAUCAGACAACAAGUUUCAUUAAUCACCCGGCAUAGAUAGUUAUUAUUAUCUCUCAUGUUGAUACAUUAACAGUUAAUAUAAACAUUUAACAGGUCUUUAAAAAAGAAUUAUUAUCAUUAAAAUAAAACAACCAUUAAAUUAUCACAAAUAAUAUUCAUCAUAUUAUGUCUAUAUAAUAUGAAAUAUCAAAUUAGAAUCUCAAGAUAUCCUACUUUAGACUGUAAGUUUCAGUACUGUUAUUAAAAUAAAAAAAUAAAUUAUCUCAAACUAAUUAUUGAGUAUGUUUAUAAGAUAUGAAAAAAUAUUAAAAAUCCCAAAAUAUUCUACCUCAGACUACAAGUUUCAGUAAUUAGCAGGCUUAGAUAUAGUUAUUAUUAUUUCUCUCAUGUUGAUGCAAUAACAGUUAAUGAACAAGGUUAAAGAGGUCUUUAAAAAGAAUAAUAAUUAUUAAAAUAAUACAACAAUGAACUUAUCACAAAUAAUAGUCAUAAUAGUAUGUCUACAUAAUAGUAUGUAUAUGUAAUAAGAAAUAAUGUAAAAUUAGAAUCCCAUGUUAUCCUAUCUCAGACAUCAAGUUUCAUUAAAUCACUGGGACCUGAUACUUUCUCUCAUGUUUAUAAAAUAAAAGUUAAUGAAAAUGUUCAACAGGUAUUUAAAAAAGAAUCAUUAUUAUUAAAAAUUAAACAAAUUAUCACAAUAUUAAUUAUAGUAUAUUUAUAUAAUAUGCAAUAAUAUGAAAUUAUAAUCCCACGAACUCCUAAAUCAGACAGCAAGUUUCACUAAUGACUUGGUCCAAAUAUAUUUAUUAUGAGUAUUUCUCACUUUGAUGCAGUAAUGGCAAAUGAAAAGUUUAAGUGGUCUUUUAAAAAAGUAAAUAUUAUUAAAAUAACUGAUAAUGAAGUAGAAGGAAAUGAACAAAACUGGAAGAACACUAUAUUUAGGACCAGCAAUAUUUUAUAAUGAUCAAUUGUGAAUUACUUAUCAAUUCGGAGCAACACAGUGAUUCCAAAUAAUUUUAAAGGUCUUAGGAUGAAAAAUGCUUUCCAUUUCUGGAGAAAAAAUGAUGAAAUCUAAAUACAGAAGAAGGCACUUUUUCUUUGCUUUCUUUUCCUUGUGUUUUUGGUCUGUGUUGUCUUUCAUGGCAUGCCUUCCAUGGAAAUGUUGUGCAAAAUGCACAUGUACAAUCAUUAUAAAAAGUGUUGCCUUCCUAAAAAGAAAUGGGGAGGAGGGAAGAUGUGAGAGUAUUUGGAACUCCACAUAUGAAAAAUAAAGACAGAAUGUUAAAAUAGUUUUGAUAUAUAACUGGGAAAAAAUAAAAUAUUAAAUUAAGUUAACAAAAAAGAAAUCUCAGUGGAAGUCCAUGGAGCAUGAUGAAAAGAUACCUGCCUCUCCUCUUUUCUUCUCUCUACUUCCAUUUAGUGGCUAGAGAUCAGGCAGGAGACAGGCAGGACACAAUCGAAAACUGCCACCUCUCCUCUUAGAAGCUGGAGACCAGGGAGGAGUCUCACAAAAAUGAGGGAAGAGAAUCAAGGAGCAUUAUGGAAGGAACCUCCACUCCUGUUUUCUUCUCUUCUUUGAUCCUUGGAAGCUGCAUGUCAGGCAGGAGAUAUGCAGGGCAUAAUGGAAGGGGCCCAUCAUUUCUCUUGUCUCUGCCAGUGGAUGCUGGAGACCAGAAAGGAGACUAAUAGCGGUCAGGAAGAAUGCAUCCAAAGAACAAGGGAAGGCGCCCCCUCUCCUCUUGGAUCCAGAGGCUGGGGACCAGACAGCAGAUUCCUAGAGUUCAGACAGGGUAGAUGUGGGGCACAAUGGGGCUUCUGCUGCUUCUUUCUCUCCUUCUCAAUACUUUCCUGCAGAGAAGGAAGAUGGCUCAGGAAGAUGAGGAAGAAAAUGCACUGGCAUGGUGGAAGGCACCUGUACCUCUUCUUUCCUUCUCUCCUCUUCCCUUUGGAGACUAAAGAUCACAAAAAAGACAGAAAUAAUACAAUGGAACCCGUAGCCUCUCCUUGUUGAUCCAGAAGCUGUGGAAAUCAGAAAGGAGAGGCAUGGAAUGUGAUGGAGAACCCCCUUCUUCCCACUUCCACUGGUAUCUGGAGACCAGGCAGGAGACUCAUGGAAACUAGGGGGAGACACAUAGAACAUAAUGAAAAGUGCCUGCCUCUCCUCCUCAAUCCUUAUCUCCUCUUCUCCUUUCUCCUCUUCCAUUUGGAGAAUGGAAAUUAGGCAGGAAAUAGGCAAGGCACAAUGGAAAGUGCCCACCAGUUCUCGUCAAUACACAGGCUAGAGAUCAGGCAGAAGACAAACAUGUUACGAUAGAACACCACUUCUUGUUGAUACAGAGAUUAGAGAAUAAGCAUGAGACUUGUGGAGAUCAGGAAGGAAAUGCACAGGGCACUAUGGAAGAAAUCUACUUCUCUUCUCUCUCUGAUCAGAGGCAGGAAACCAUGCAAAAGAAUCAUGAAAAUCAGGCAGGAAACUCACAGAAAAUAUCUAGGUGUCUUCUUUCCUUCUCUCAUCUUUCCUCUGAAGACUGGGGAUCAGGCAGAAGACAGACCUGGCUCAAUGGAAGCUGCCCAUCUCUCCCUUUUUGAUCCAGAGGCUAGAGACCAGACAGGAAGCUUGUGGAAAUUAGGAUGGAGAAGCACAUGGCAGGAUGGAACAGACCCAGCUUUUUUCACUGCCAAGGAAGGCUGGAGACCCAUCAGUAGACUCAUGGGCAUCAGGGAGGAGGUAAAUGGGAAUGAUGAAAUGUGCCCAUCUGUUCUCUUCUCUCUUUUCCUCUUACCUGCAGAGGCUGGAGAUCAGACCAGAGAAAGAUGGAAUCAACUGGAAGGCACUUGCCUCUCCUCUUCCCAUUUCAACUAGAGGCUAGAAUCCAAGCAGGAGACACAUAAAAAUCAAUCAGGAGACUCCUGGUUCACUCUGGAAGGCACUGCCACUUCUCCCCUCCUUUUCUGUCAGCUUCCCUCUGGAGGCUGGAGAUGAGGCAGGAGUCAAGAAGGGCACUGUGAAGGGCACACAUCUCUCUGCCAUCCACAGGCUGAUGGUCAAGAAAGAGAUGCUCUGGAUGGAAUGGAAGGCUCCCACUUUUCCUCUGAUUCAGAAAGCGGAUCUCAUGUAGGAAAUUCAUUGAGAUCAGGCAGGAGAUAGGGCUGGGUGAAAACCAUUCUCUCACCUUCUUCCUUUCACUACAGGCUAGAGACCAUGGAGCAAUCUUAUGGAAAACAGAAGGAGAUGCAGAAGCAUGAAGUAAGAGAAUGAAGAAGACUCAGAAAGAUGAGGAAGGAAAUGCACUGGCAUGAUGGAAGGCAACUGCACCUCUUCUUUUCACAUAUGAGAGAUGGAAGAUCAGGUAAAGGAUUCAUGAAGAUCAAGCGGGAGACUCAUGGAAAUCCAAGAGGCGACCCAUGGAGAAUGAUGAAGGGCACCUGCCUCUCCUCUUCCCUCCUGAGGCAGAAAUUCAGGCCAUGGAGAAGUCUUAUGGGAAAACAGGCAGGAGAUGCAAGAGCAUGAAGUAAGAGAAUGAAGAAGACUCAGAAAGAUGAGGAGGAAAUGCACCUCUUCUUCUCAUGCAUGAGAGAUGGGAGAUCAGGUAAAGGAUUCAUGAAGAUCAAGCGGGAGACUCAUGGAAAUCCAAGAGGAGACCCAUGAAGAAUGAUGAAGGGCACCUGCCUCUCCUCUUCCCUCCUGAGGCAGAAAUUCAGAGAUCAGGCAGAGAACACACAGGACAGAAUGGAAAGCUGCCACCUCUGCUCUUUGAUUUAGUCUGAAGAUUUGGCUGGAAACUCCUGGAGAACUGUAAGUAGGAAAAUGGGGCAUGAUAGCAGGUAUCCCACUUCUCUUCUCACUUCUAUCAGAGGCUGGAGACCAUUAAAUAUCCUUAUGGAGAUCAGGCAAAUGAUGCACAGGAAACAGCGGAGAAUGCCAAUUUUUCUUCUUUUCACUUUCAUUAUUAAUUCCAACAAAGGAUUCUUGUAAAAACCAAUGAAUUGUGCCUACUUCUCUUCUAAUUUCUAGAGGCUGGAGACCAGAUCAGAGAUUCCUAGAGCUCAGACAGGAUAAAUGUGGAGCAUAAGGAGGUCUCUGCUUCUCCUUUCUCUUCCUCUCCUCUCUUUGUCCCUGCUAAGUUUGAAAACCAAGUAAAAGACUCAUGGAGUUUCUUUGAUUCAGAAAGUGGAACUCAUUUAGGACACUCAUUGAGAUCAGGCAGGAGAUAAACAGGGCCUGAUGAAAGCCAUUCUCUCAUCUUCUGUCUUUCACUAAAGGCUAGCACCAUGUUUUAUGUCCAGUGAAAAAAGAUCUGGUAGGAGCCUCAUGGAAUCGAGUGGAAGGUGCUCACCUCUUCUGUUAGAGCCAGAAGCUUGAGAACAGAAGGAAAAUUCAGAGAGAUCAGAUAGAACACAUGCAGAAGCAUUCCCUUAGCCUUACUCCUCCUUUCCUCUACUUUUCCUUUUGGUGGCUGAAAAGCAAUUUGAAAACUCAUGGAGAUCAGGAAGAAGAGGAAUGGACAUGAGGGAAUUCUCAGUACUAGACAGGGGACUAGUUCAUUUUAGUGUGUAGGUCUAGACAAUUGUCAUUCAACAUGGGGCCCUGGAAAGGAGGGCACAAAGUAGCUCAGCUGACAAGAACAGUGCCAGAAAUGAGAGGAGAGAUGUUGGAGGGGAUUUCAGACAGUUAAGACACUAAUGCAUUGUUAGUGAAGUUGUAUACUGAUUCAUCCAUUCUGAAGGGCAAUUUGGAACUAUGCCCCAAGAGCUAUAAAACCAUGGGGGGAGAGCCAUGGAGUAUGAUAUAACUGCCUUUCUUCUCUGCUUCUCUUCUCUUCUCUUGAGAGUCUGAAGAUCCAGAAGAGGCUCAGCAGGACACAAUGGAAACUAUUGAUGCAGAGGCUAGAAAAUAGGUCCCUUAGAAGCUGGAUAUCAGGCAGGAGAUAUGUAGGAGAUAAAGGAAGGGGCCCAUCAUUUUUCACUCUCAGUGGAUGCUGGAGACCAGAAAGGAGAUUAAUAGCAGUCAGGAAGGAUGCAUGCAAAGAACAAGAAAAGGAAGAUGGCUCAGGAAGAUGAGGAAGAAAAUGCACUGGUAUGAUGGAAGGCACCUGUGCCUCUUCUUUUCACACAUGAGUGAUGGAAGAUCAAGUAAAGCAUUCAUGAAGAUCAAGCGGGAGAUGCAUGAAAAUCCAUGGAGAAUGAUGAAGGGCACCUGCCUCUCCUCUUUCCUCCUGAGGCAGAAAUUCAGGUGGAGAUGGGUGGUAACGAGACAUAUUCGCCUAGUCGAUCACACAGAGAUGGAGCAGACCCUUGAAAGGAAGGAUAAGACCCAAGAAAUAUCAUGUGGAUCUGUUGCUGAUUGUGUAGGACAUUGAAUCAAUGAAAUAGCAUGGAAGUUAUAGCAUUUCACUCAUGGACAUCGAAAAUUAUUGGACUUCAAAACCUUCAGGAAUCAUUGGAAUCUCUGAGACAUAAGACUGUUGUAGGACGUGAAAGCCCUCAGGAAUCAUUGGAAUCUCUAAGACAUAAUAAGA